rnacentral:rRNA from 2 species
CAUAAAAUGACUCUCGGCAACGGAUAUCUCGGCUCUCGCAUCGAUGAAGAACGUAGCGAAAUGCGAUACUUGGUGUGAAUUGCAGAAUCCCGUGAACCAUCGAGUCUUUGAACGCAAGUUGCGCCCGAAACCAUUAGGUUGAGGGCACGUCUGCCUGGGUGUCACA